rnacentral:rRNA from 1 species
AGAACGAACGCUGGCGGCAUGCCUAACACAUGCAAGUCGAACGAGACCUUCGGGUCUAGUGGCGCACGGGUGCGUAACGCGUGGGAAUCUACCCUUGGGUUCGGAAUAACAGUUGGAAACGACUGCUAAUACCGGAUGAUGAUGAAAGUCCAAAGAUUUAUCGCCCAGGGAUGAGCCCGCGUAGGAUUAGCUAGUUGGUGAGGUAAAGGCUCACCAAGGCGACGAUCCUUAGCUGGUCUGAGAGGAUGAUCAGCCACACUGGGACUGAGACACGGCCCAGACUCCUACGGGAGGCAGCAGUGGGAAUAUUGGACAAUGGGCGAAAGCCUGAUCCAGCAAUGCCGCGUGAGUGAUGAAGGCCUUAGGGUGUAAAGCUCUUUACCGGUGAUAAUGACAGUAACCGGAGAAUAAGCUUACCGGCUAACUCCGUGCCCAGCGAGCCGACGGU